GCCGCGUCGAGAUGCCGGAGCCCCCGGGCCUUGGAGAUGAAGGCAGGCCCCUGCUCCACCCAGGAAGGAGGGAGGCAGUGGGCUCGUGGGUCAGUGCCUUUGCAGCCGACAGCACGCCUUGCGGCCCUGGGGAAUCUUUCUGCGCCCUGGCGAGCGCCUUUCCGCCUCACUGCAUUGUAACCCCAUUCCCGAUCACCGGGUGGGAUCCAUCAUCGGAUCCCAAGAGGAGUCCGCGCAGCCCAGCCGGCACCCCGAAGCUCCUCCUUCACCGGGAACCCAAGCAGAAGACCGAUUAAGGAGGUCCUGACGACAGGACUCCUAUGGGUCCGACCCUGGGUCUCCCGCAGGCCCCUCUGGUAGUCCUCUUCCCACCCACCGCCUGGGGCUGCACCACAGCCGCCGCCGCAAGCUCCAGCACCGCCACCCCAGUCCCCGCAGCCGCGGCGUCGCCGCCAUUUUUUAAAGGGUCCGCAGCCUGACUGCCGAGUAAGGGGGGGUGGGGCGGGUGAGUCGGCCUCGCCAGCGCGCAUGCGCGAGGCCCGAGCCGCCGCUUCGGUCACAGUGACCGCCACCGUUGCCAAGGGAUGGGUCCCUGAGACUUGGCGAAGUGGGAGCCCUGUGUGAUCGUGCGUCAGAGUCGGGGCUGAGACCAGCCCCGGCCAGGGUAGUUACCGGGACGGUCUCCGGAGGCCGGGAUUCGCGGAGGGUCCACCAGCAGGAAGAAACCCCAGGAGGAAGAAACCUCAGACAGAUCGCCGGGGAGGCAGCGCGGGAUCCCAGCCUCAGGCGUGCGCGGACGGUGUGCGGGAGGGUGCCCGCAGACCUUC
rnacentral:lncRNA from 1 species